rnacentral:rRNA from 1 species
AGCGAACGCUGGCGGCAGGCCUAACACAUGCAAGUCGAGCGGACGUAGCAAUACGUCAGCGGCAGACGGGAGAGUAACACGUGGGAACGCGCCCUUCGGUUCGGGAUAACUCAGGGAAACUUGGGCUAAUACCGGAUACGCCCUUACGGGGAAAGAUUUAUUGCCGAAGGAACGGCCCGCGUCCGAUUAGCUUGUUGGUGAGGUAACGGCUCACCAAGGCGACGAUCGGUAGCUGGUCUGAGAGGAUGACCAGCCUCACUGGGACUGAGACACGGCCCAGACUCCUACGGGAGGCAGCAGUGGGGAAUAUUGGACAAUGGGCGCAAGCCUGAUCCAGCCAUGCCGCGUGGGUGAUGAAGGCCCUAGGGUUGUAAAGCCCUUUCCGCGGGGAAGAUAAUGACGGUACCCGCAGAAGAAGCCCCGGCUAACUUCGUGCCAGCCGCCGCCGUAAAAC